CCCGCCCCUAAUUCACGCCACAAUUAUCCCCAAUCUUCCAGAUCACCAUUACAUUGAUGAUCCAAGAAUUUGGUGAAUCAAAACCAAAAAAUCUUCAAUACACUACAAUUCAUAUCUCAAUCUGUAAUAACAUUUAGAUCAGAAAGAGUCCAAGCGGAAGUGUUGAAGGCAAGGGAAAUAAUUCAUAUUCAAGAAGUGAUUUUGGUAUGUGAAAUUUUAAUUACAGUAACUCAAAAGACAUUGAAAUGUUUAUAAUUUUGUAUGUUUGUGCUUAAUGUAUUGUUUAUUCUGAUUUAUUAAAUAUUUUUUGUGAUUCUGUUGAUAGAUUUGAAAACUUCUCUUUUAAAUAUUAUCAGCAUACUAAGUUGGUCUUGUGAGUCUUGCUCAUGGUAAAAUGAUUCAUGCGCAGAUGUUAAAGUCCAAAUUCAAUGAUGAUUGAUGAUGUGUAUGUUUUGUCAGUUUUGAUCACAAUGUACAAGAAAUGUCGUGAUCUUUGUUGCUGCCAAAAGAGUGUUUGAUAGGUUUCUGCAUAAAGAUAGUGUGAUGGAAUUCUAUGAUAACAAGUUAAGCAUAACACAGUUUGGGAAGAGAAGAUCUGUUUCAAGAGAUGUAUUCUUCAAGCAUUGCUGUAGACGAUGUUAUAUUUGUUGGAGUUCUCUCGGCCUGUAGUUAUUCUAGACUACUCAAAGAGGGAAAUGAGAUCUUUUAAGUCCAUAAAAUCAAAAUAUUCGACAGAGCCCUCCUCAAAACAUUAUGCUUGCACGGUUGAUUUGUUGGGGGCAAGAUGGUCACUUUAGUGAGGUUAUGUUUCUUGUGGCGUUCACAAUCUGAGUGACGUUUAUAAACUAUGUAAUCAAGAGGUCGAUAAUUUCUUAAUUAUUGGUUGUUUGAGUCAUCGUUUGUGAAUUAAAUCCAAAACCUUGGUUCAAUUGGCGUUAUUGGGAUUUGGUUCAAUCUCGUUGUGGGUUUGUAGUUGCCAUUGCUACAUGGGUUCACAUCAGUUGGUAUUAGAGAUUGGGCUUUAAAAUCAAGGUUAUAUCCCUUUUGCUCUUGUUGAGCCUUUGUUUUUCAUUUUCCAUGUUUUUGUUUUGUGUUCUUCGUAUUUUCCAAUUGUUGUUGAGUCUUUGAUUCGUUAAAAUUUCGAAAAUUGUUGUUGGGCUAAUUUAGCAUCGAAAUCAACUUCCAUUUGUUUUGUUGGUGUCAUAGUCAAUUUUUCUAUCUAAAGAGUCCAAAAAAAAAAAGAGUGAAAAAUCGAAAAAAUAUAAAAUAUAAAAUACUAUUGUUGUCAUUGUUAGAUUAUUUUAGGAAUUUUCAGCCUUCUACAAAGUCUUAAGUCAAUUUUGAUAUAUCCCAUCCCAUCAAAAUUCAAGAACCACAUUGAGGUAGAGGAAUAGAGAGAGAUUGAUCAAUACAUGGGAUGAGUUGAAGGCAAUAAUGUGGAAGAGGUUCGUGCCAAGUCAUUACUAUAUGGAACUCCAUCAAAAGUUUCAGAGUUUAUACCAGGGGUCGAGAAGUGUGGAGGACUACCACAAGGAGAUGGAAAUAUUAAUGAUUAGGGUAAAUGUGGAAAAGGAUCAGGAAGCCACUAUGACUCGGUUUCUCAAUGGUUUGAAUAGGGAUAUUGCUAAUGUGGUAGAGUUGCAGCACUAUAUGGAGUUAGAAGACAUGCUUCAUGUGGCCAUGAAGGUAGAGAGGUAAUUAAAGCGAAAGCGGACGACUAAGUAUCAAUCGAGGCCUAAUUCAACUUUGAAGUCUAGAUGGGAUGAUGACCAGGUUGAUGGGGCUGUUACAAAUAAUAAAGCCGAAUCACCAAGGUGAAAGGAAGAGAAUGCUAGCAAGAUCACACAAAAGGUGGAGCCACAUCCAUAUAGGAGUCGGGUUAUUAAGUGUUUCAAGUGCUUGGGAUCGGGACAUAUUACUUCUCAGUGUCCAAACAAACGAGCCAUGAUUUUGAGUGCUAAUGGGAAAGUAAUGAGUGACAGUGAUGGAGAUGGGAUGCCUGAACUAAAGGAUGCUAGUAGUGGUGGUGAAGUGGUCGAACAUGCGGUAGAAGGGGACGUACUAGUGGUGAUGCGUGCACUCAAUACACAAAUCAAGGUGGAUGAAGAAGAGCAGCAACAGAAGAAUAUCUUUCAUACUAGAUGCCAUGUGGAGAACAAGGUAUGUAGUGUAAUAAUCGGUGGAGAUUAUUGCAUUAAAAUAGCUAGUACCACUUUUGUAGAGAAGUUAGGGCUAACUAUCCUAAGCCUUACAAAUUACAGUGGUUGGAUGAUUGUGGAGAGGUUAAGGUGAAUAAGAGAGUACUAGUGAAAUUUUUAAUUGGGCGGUAUAACGAUGAAAUGUUGUGUGAUGUUGUGCCUAUACAUGCCCAGCAUAUAUUGUUGGGUAAACGUGGCAAUAUGAUAGGAAGGUGAAGCAUGAACGUUUAGAUAAAGGUAUAGUUUCAACAAAGAUAGAAGAUCAAUUACACUUGUACCUUUAACAAAACAGCAGGUAUACGAAGAUCAAAUGAAGUUGAGAGGUGAGAAAGAGAGAAAAGGCAAUGAGAGACAAAAGAAGAGUUCGAGAGAAAAUGGCGAGGUGGCUAAGUGUGAGAAUAACAAAGUAAAGCCACAAGAGAGAAAAGAAAGGAAGCCCUCUAAGCAGAGAGAAAAGGGAAAAGUGAGCUUUUAUCAGAAAAGAAAGAGGUUGAGAGUGAGUCAGCGAGGACUAACAAAUCCCUCCCUAAUUUGAAUAUUUCCUUGAUACAGGAAUGUGAAAAUUUGUUGCACAAAGACUUUCUUAAAGGAGUAUCACCAUUUGAAUAUCCAAUGGAUGCAUUGCAAUUGGAAUAUUUGUGAAGUAUCGAAGAAGAAUUAUGCAAUUGUGGCUUUGCAGGAUUUCAAAAUCCAAAACAAAGGUUGUGUAUGGGUCUAGCAGAUGGAAGGCCUGAACUGGAGUUGUGUUCAUUCUAAGGCAGUGAAUGGAAGAGGCGAAAAAUAUUCAAACCUGGUGAUAGAACUUGGAAGAAUCAACAAAAAGCACAUGAUCGAUUGCAAAGGAGAUCAAAGCUUCACUCAAGAGGAGACGGUCCAUUCCAUGACAUUGCAAAGUUUGAAGGCAAUGGAAACAUAUUUUGAUCUUGAAAUUUCAGAUUCGAUGAUGAAUCCUUUCGAGGAGGGGGGAUAAUAUGAUCAGGGAUAGGCCACGAAUUAAGAAGAAUCUGAUGAUUGUUGGAAAGAGGCCAAAGCCACAUUUGAGACCUCCAAGAGUCAAUAAGGGUCGAGCAACCACCUAGGCAAACCAUAGGAACCAAAAGAAUGAAGUCCAUGUGCCAAAGAUCAAGUUUGAUGUUGGGAACGAGAGUCGAAAUAACUUGGAGGCGAUGCAAUUCAAGAAGCUGGGUUCGGGUCUAUUGCAAGCCAUGCGACCGCACAGUAUAAAUUCAGGGAAAAAAUUUCCUUUUUCACGCGAGUUUCCUAUUUCCAUUAGAAAUCUAAUCUUUUAAUAUUUUUACCAUAUUUUGAAUGUAUUUUCCAUUUCAGUUAG
rnacentral:lncRNA from 1 species